GAUGAACGCUGGCGGCGUGCCUAAUACAUGCAAGUCGAGCGAAUGGAUUAAGAGCUUGCUCUUAUGAAGUUAGCGGCGGACGGGUGAGUAACACGUGGGUAACCUGCCCAUAAGACUGGGAUAACUCCGGGAAACCGGGGCUAAUACCGGAUAACAUUUUGAACCGCAUGGUUCGAAAUUGAAAGGCGGCUUCGGCUGUCACUUAUGGAUGGACCCGCGUCGCAUUAGCUAGUUGGUGAGGUAACGGCUCACCAAGGCAACGACGCGUAGCCGACCUGGGAGGGUGAUCGGCCAGACUGGGACUGAGACACGGCCCAGACUCCUACGGGAGGCAGCAGUAGGGAAUCUUCCGCAAUGGACGAAAGUCUGACGGAGCAACGCCGCGUGAGUGAUGAAGGCUUUCGGGUCGUAAAACUCUGUUGUUAGGGAAGAACAAGUGCUAGUUGAAUAAGCUGGCACCUUGACGGUACCUAACCAGAAAGCCACGGCUAACUACGUGCCAGCCGCCGCAGUAA
rnacentral:rRNA from 1 species